UGCCAGCCGCCGCGGUAAUACGGAGGGGGCUAGCGUUGUUCGGAAUUACUGGGCGUAAAGCGCGCGUAGGCGGGCUGUUAAGUCGGGGGUGAAAUCCCGGGGCUCAACCCCGGAACUGCCUCCGAUACUGGCAGCCUAGAGAUCGAGGUAGGCGGAAUUUAUGGUGUAGCGGUGAAAUGCAUAGAUACCAUAAAGAACACCGAUAGCGAAGGCAGCUUACUAGGCUGAGACUGACGCUGAGGCACGAAAGCGUGGGGAGCGAACAGGAUUAGAUA
rnacentral:rRNA from 1 species